rnacentral:rRNA from 1 species
UGCAGUCGAGCGAAUGGAUUAAGAGCUUGCUCUUAUGAAGUUAGCGGCGGACGGGUGAGUAACACGUGGGUAACCUGCCCAUAAGACUGGGAUAACUCCGGGAAACCGGGGCUAAUACCGGAUAACAUUUUGAACCGCAUGGUUCGAAAUUGAAAGGCGGCUUCGGCUGUCACUUAUGGAUGGACCCGCGUCGCAUUAGCUAGUUGGUGAGGUAACGGCUCACCAAGGCAACGAUGCGUAGCCGACCUGAGAGGGUGAUCGGCCACACUGGGACUGAGACACGGCCCAGACUCCUACGGGAGGCAGCAGUAGGGAAUCUUCCGCAAUGGACGAAAGUCUGACGGAGCAACGCCGCGUGAGUGAUGAAGGCUUUCGGGUCGUAAAACUCUGUUGUUAGGGAAGAACAAGUGCUAGUUGAAUAAGCUGGCACCUUGACGGUACCUAACCAGAAAGCCACGGCUAACUACGUGCCAGCAGCCGCGGUAAUACGUAGGUGGCAAGCGUUAUCCGGAAUUAUUGGGCGUAAAGCGCGCGCAGGUGGUUUCUUAAGUCUGAUGUGAAAGCCCACGGCUCAACCGUGGAGGGUCAUUGGAAACUGGGAGACUUGAGUGCAGAAGAGGAAAGUGGAAUUCCAUGUGUAGCGGUGAAAUGCGUAGAGAUAUGGAGGAACACCAGUGGCGAAGGCGACUUUCUGGUCUGUAACUGACACUGAGGCGCGAAAGCGUGGGGAGCAAACAGGAUUAG